rnacentral:lncRNA from 1 species
CCGGUCGGCUGCUGGAUCUUUUGGGGGCCGUCGGAGCCCCACGACAGCCAUCCUUGCCGGGGCGGUACCGGUACCCUGAGAGCUGAGGCCUUCCUAUUCCCUGAACAAUAUUGAAAUAAGGCCAAUAAAUAACCCUACAGUUACCUCUUAAGUGUUCA